rnacentral:tRNA from 1 species
GGUUCCAUAGUGUAGCAGUUAGCAUGUCUGCUUUAUAUGCAGAAGGUCCUGGGUUCAUUUCCCAGUGGAGCCA